AUUGAACGCUGGCGGCAGGCCUAACACAUGCAAGUCGAGCGGAUGACGGAAGCUUGCUCCUUGAUUCAGCGGCGGACGGGUGAGUAAUGCCUAGGAAUCUGCCUGGUAGUGGGGGACAACGUUUCGAAAGGAACGCUAAUACCGCAUACGUCCUACGGGAGAAAGCAGGGGACCUUCGGGCCUUGCGCUAUCAGAUGAGCCUAGGUCGGAUUAGCUAGUUGGUGGGGUAAUGGCUCACCAAGGCGACGAUCCGUAACUGGUCUGAGAGGAUGAUCAGGCACACUGGAACGGAGACACGGUCCAGACUCCUACGGGAGGCAGCAGUGGGGAAUAGUGGACAAUGGGCGAAAGCCUGAUCCAGCCAUGCCGCGUGUGUGAAGAAGGUCUUCGGAUUGUAAAGCACUUUAAGUUGGGAGGAAGGGCAGUAAGUUAAUACCUUGCUGUUUUGACGUUACCGACAGAAUAAGCACCGGCUAACUCUGUGCCAGCCGCCGCGGUAA
rnacentral:rRNA from 1 species